UUAGGCACUACUGUAAUUAACAUGAUUAGUAAUAAUGGGCAACAAAUUACCCAUCUUGCCACUACUUCCUUGCCUUAGGGUUUUUGGCUGUUGCGCUCACCAAGCCUAGGGACUCCAGUGCAGCAGAGCACGAGAUGGUGGUUACUUUGGAAGAGACCAGACCACAAGAAAAUGCAUCAUACAAGAGCUCAGCUAUGGUGGAUGGACGAGAGCCGGGGCUUUCAAAUCACGGAGGCCACAACACCCAUCCACCCCAGAGAAGAACACAUUUCCUCGACACACACUACAGCACAAACCCUUUGCUUCUCUGCAUCAUCGAGAGAAACCAGAUGUGUGUGAUGCAAAAAAAUACCAGCUGUUCCAAACUCCAGUUCGGCAAAGUUACCGGAGGGGAGCGGACAACAAUUAUUUAACGACAGCAGACGUUAAGAUUCAAAAAAUUAAAGUUUUUCAACCACUAAACACACAAAUUGCCUACACUGCAUGUCAAAAUAUACAUAUUAAAUAACCUUAAAUCAAACUCUUAAGUUCUGAAGCAGCAUUUUUCUUACUUUGCCUAGCUGUAAAUUUCAAUGGUCAUUGAUGGAAAUAUUUUUUCGCUGAUUUGU